rnacentral:rRNA from 1 species
UACGUAGGUGGCAAGCGUUGUCCGGAUUUACUGGGCGUAAAGAGCGCGCAGGCGGUCGUUCAAGUCGCGUGUGAAAGCCCCCGGCUCAACUGGGGAGGGUCACGCGAUACUGAUCGACUCGAAGGCAGGAGAGGGAAGUGGAAUUCCCGGUGUAGUGGUGAAAUGCGUAGAUAUCGGGAGGAACACCAGUGGCGAAGGCGGCAUCCUGAACUGGUCCUGACACUCAUGAGCGAAAGCGUGGGGAGCGAUCCGG